rnacentral:tRNA from 1 species
GUGCCCGUAGCGCAAUCGGAUAGAGCGUCGGCCUCCGAAGCCGAAGGUUGGAGGUUCGAAUCCUCCCGGGCACA